GAUUCGUUAUGGGAAGUGAAAAUUUCUCGCUUCCCGCAAUGGUUUAAACUCAUGCCCCAAACCCUUACCAUUGUGCGAGAGGGACUUGCGCAGGGAGAUUUGCUUCUCACGCUGACCAGAGAGGGUGUGCCGCCGCCCUAAUUCGGCGUGGUGUUGCUGUUUCAAUACACCAGGAAGGUGCUUCGUUGCUGUUUAUUUCCCGAUCUGAAUGGAGUCCAUUGCAACUGCUUCGGGUAUAGAAACAAGUGGUAAAGUUGGGAGUUGAUAAUUGAAGGGGACAUGGGCUACAACUAACUACUCCUUUGAAUGGUGCAUCGAUCAAUUUAAGCUGAUCUACGUGAAGUUAGUUUGGUGAAUCUGUACCAAACCAGAUGAUUAACAGGUACAUGUACAUGUAGGCAAAGUCCGAUGGGAGAAAUUUCCAUAUCUUGUGCGAGUCAAAUGUAUGACAAAUCUUGGAAGCUUGGUAUUCGUUGACGUUGAAUUCAUAUGACAUUGAAUGUACAAAGGGUAUUUUCGACCAUCGGCCCAUAUUGAUCCCCUAUACCUGUCAUUUUAGCCGUUGGAUGUGAU